UACAGAGGCCUCGAGCGUUUAGGCGGAAUCACUGGGCUUAAAGCGUGUGUAGGCGGAUUGGUAAGUACCUUGUGAAAUCCCACAGCUUAACUGUGGAACUGCUCGGUAUACUGCUGAUCUUGAGCCACUCAGGGGCUACCGGAACAAAUGGUGGAGCGGUGAAAUGCGUAGAUAUCAUUUGGAACGCCAAUGGUGAAAACAGGUAGCUGGGGGGUGUGCUGACGCUGAGACACGAAAGCCAGGGGAGCAAACGGG
rnacentral:rRNA from 1 species